AAUAUUUUGAGCUAGUUAUUUUUUUUUAAAACAAUAAAAAAACAUAAAUUAUAUUUUUGGUCUUCAAAUUUAAACUAUAAGGCGCUUGACACUUUAAUCCUUAAUCCUAGAAUUUAAGGUUGUUGUUAUUCCAAGUUUAAAUUAUGAGGUGCGUGACAUUUUAAUCCUCGAACUUAAUUACUUGUAAUCUAUGGCUUGAAAUGCAACGCAUGUGACAUUUUAGUUUUCAAACUUUCUAAAUUAUUGCAAUCAAAUUUUACAAUCUAAUUUUUUAAAAAAUAAAUAUUAAUAAUAGCACUUUAAUUAUUGUUGCACAAUCAAGUAGGAUAUUACUAAAAUUCAGAAAAUUCGAGGACUAAAAUAUCACAUUCCUCAUAUAUGUACAUAGUUCGGACUAGAAAUUACAAUUAAUUAAAAUUUGAGGAUUAAAGUGCCAUACAUCUCACAAUUUGAGUCAAAAUUUUUAAUUAAUUAAAAUUCUAGUACUAAAAUAUC
rnacentral:lncRNA from 1 species